CCACCCGCACACAACCAACCCAGUGCUGCCUAGUGUAUGCAUACAUGUUCCCCACCUCGUCUCUAGUCCCCCCCUCCCCCACCACCACACAACACAACACCACUGCCAUGUAUGCAAACAUUUCCCACCUCUCCUAGUCCCCCCCCCCACCACCACACAACACAACACCACUGCCUCUCAAGGUUCGUUUCACAGUAUCACGCACCUCUCUCUAGUUCCCCACCCCAUCACCACAACAAAACAAACCACUGCCUAUAUGGCAUACAUGUUCCCCACCUUCUCUAGUCCCCCCCCCACCACCACACAACACAACACCACUGCCUAUGUAUGCAUACAUGUUCCCCACCUCUCUCUAGUCCCCCCCCCACCACCACACAACACAACACCACUGCCAUGUAUGCACAUGUUCCCCACCUCUCUCUAGUCCCCCCCCCACCACCACACAAACACAACAACCACUGCCAUGUUUGCAAUCAUGUUCCACCUCUUCUAGUCCCCCCCCACCACCACCACACACAAACAACACCACUGCCUAUAUGCUACAUGUUCCCACACUCUCUCUAGUCCCCCCCCCCCACCCCACACAACACAAACACCACUGUCCUAUGUAUGCAUACAGUUCCCCACCUCCCUAGUCCCCCCCACCACCACACACAACA
rnacentral:lncRNA from 1 species